GGCCGCGUGGCCUAAUGGCAAGGCGUUGCUUUCCGGUGGCAAAGAUUGCGAGUUCGAGUCUCGUCGCGGUCG
rnacentral:tRNA from 1 species